rnacentral:misc_RNA from 1 species
UCAAACUUGGUCAUUUAGAGGAAGUAAAAGUCGUAACAAGGUCUCCGUUGGUGAACCAGCGGAGGGAUCAUUACCGAGUUCUUGGCUCCCAAACCCACCGCGAACCCUACCUCUCGUUGCCUCGGCGGCCGGCCACGGGGCCGCCGCCGGGGGCCCCCCCGAACCCUCUGCUUGCAGGCUCGCAACCGCCCCGGCGCGGGGAGAGCGUCUUCUGAGCAGCCCCCAGCGGGCGCAGCACAAGAAACGAAUCAAAACUUUCAACAACGGAUCUCUUGGCUCUGGCAUCGAUGAAGAACGCAGC